rnacentral:lncRNA from 10 species
ACUGAUUCAAGGAAUUUUUUGGAUAAUAUUGUAUUUCAUUUGAAUAAGGAUGCAUCUUAAAAUCUACUGGUAUACCUCUUUUUCCAAAAUUGAAGUGAAAGUAGUAAUACAAUAUGGAGCUUUGGAAUUUAUUCUGAAGGAUACUGUAGCUUAUGAGUGGUCAUGGAGCUGAUUAAAUAAAUGUUGUUUAAGCAAUUACUCCCAGAGUGAACACAGUUUCUCCCAUUCGGGGCAUUUCCCUUACAACUUCUAUUGUAUUUCUUUGAAUUUUGGAAAUCACAACUGGCCUUGUAUGCAUUGUCGUUAUGAAUUUGUGUCUAGGCCUUUAUUCUAACUAACAACAACACUCGAUCCCACUA